UGUCAUUCUCCUCCUCUUGUUGCCUAUUACCCAAGAAGACCAUACUCCUCAACCCAGUUUUCAAGGCUCUCUUCACUAGCAGUUGGAUUCCCACCUUCCAACUUUCUCUCAUAUGUUUCCAAUUUGUUCCUCAAGACCCAGCUUAGAGCCAGCUACACCUUGUAAGGGCCUCUGAAGCCUGGACUCUGGAGCAGGGACCCUGGGUAUGAACCCCUUCUGCCAGGUUCUAAGGGAAGUUCAGCUUUGGAGUCAUCUCCAAGGAAAAGAUCAAGGAGGAGAAAAGUAUCUAGAGAAUGUAAGAAAGAAUUGGAAUGCAGUAGAAACGAUGUUCUGUCAGUCUGCGGGCCCAGGAUUUAAGAGGCUGGCAAUUUCCACUUCUUGCCUCUUGAAACUUUCACUCUUAAAGCCCCAGGCUGCCGAACAGGCCCUGGGACUGCAUGAAGAGGGAGAACAGCCCAACAGAGACCGGCCUUCUGCUAAGGGGCCAGAUAUAAGAGUGAAGCUAUCUUGGACCCUCCAGACCCUCCAAGCCUACCAGCUGAAUACCAUUAAGUGACUCCAGGUGGUGUUACGUGGAACAGAAGAAUCAUUCAGCUGAGUCCUGGAUCCAUCCUACACAACUGUAGCUGAGCCUGAAUUCCUCAUCUUCACGGUUGUAAGAUAUAAUGAAAUUGUUGUCAUUUUAAGCCAUUACAUUUUGGAGUGAUUUGUAAGUGCAGCAAUAAAUAACCAGAAUAUUACCCUACUUGGGACCUUAUAACUUCUUACCUGGAAAACUGAUCCUUUCAUUAGUCUCCUGUCCUUCCAACCACGCUCUACCCUACUCAGUUUGUUUUCAUGGAGAAACUGUGUGGGGCUCCUGCUUUAAAAAAAAAAGAGUCAUUGUCAACAGAAUACACACUAAUCUCUUUAGUCGGCCCCCACUGGCCUUCUAAGAUCUGUCUCUGAACUCACCUUUCCAAGCUCUCCUCUUCUUCCCUCACAUUUCUUAUGCUCCAACCAAAUUCAACUGUUGGCCUAACCCCUUGACACUCCAUGAUUUUGAUUUUGUCCCCACAGUUCCUCCUCCUGGAAUGUCCUUCCCCUCAUCCAUGUAUGUCCACAUCCUGCUUGCCUCCCAAAGACAGCCAAGAAUAUCAAUCUCUCUGGUGGAAAUAAUCUCUCUCCUGAAUUUCCACAGCAUCUUAUCUGGGCCUCUCAUCAAAC
rnacentral:lncRNA from 1 species